GAGAAAGCCGGUACCCGGGGAUAGUAAUGACUAGUAUUUAGCACGUGGGGGCUCUAGGUCCCAGUCAAGAGACACGAGGGAUAGCACUGCGCCUGUCCCGUGAUUUCUGCCCCCGCUAAGGACUUGUGCAAGCAAGCAUCCUGCUGCCAAAGGGAGACGGAAGGAUUUGUCACUUUUUCCAAGGUCGCGAGUGGAGUUACAGGCUGUGUUCUCCCUAUGGCAGGACAAAGGAGGAAUUUGGACAAUCACAUACCCCUCCCCCAAAGAUCCAGAAGCUCUCUAAAUAAUGAGCAUUCGCUAACCCCCAGGCCAUGUGGCCUUUGGACACAGCAGGAUAGAAGUUGCUUUCUGGGCCUCACUUGCUACAGGGAUCCCAGGUUGCAAGUCAGAUAACCUGCGCCUGCCCAGUUGAACCAAGUAUGCCCAAUUUGUGACCUCAGUGCUGGCCAGAAACAAAAAGUCAACCACAGUUGAAGCCUAAGAACUUGGAUCAAGGAGCAGGGACUGAAUUAAGAAGCAGAGAAGCCCUGUUUCAUUGCAGUGCGGACUCAGCCAAGUACUCGUCACCGCCUCUUUGCAUGAUCUGAUCAAAUCAUGCCU